rnacentral:rRNA from 1 species
CCUCCAACAGCCGGCGACCGGCGCACGGGUGACGUAACACGUAUGUAACCUGCCCUAUGCAGGGGGAUAACCCGGAGAAAUCCGGCCUAAUACCGCGUAACACCUUUUGGGAGCAUUCCCGGGAGGUUAAAGGAGAGAUCCGGCAUAGGAUGGACAUGCGUCGCAUUAGGUAGACGGCGGGGUAACGGCCCACCGUGCCGACGAUGCGUAGGGGUUCUGAGAGGAAGGCCCCCCACACUGGUACUGAGACACGGACCAGACUCCUACGGAAGGCAGCAG